rnacentral:tRNA from 1 species
CCUGGUGGCUUAGAAAGUAAAGCAUCUGCUUACAAUGCAGGAGACCUGGGUUCGAUCCCUGAGUCAGGA